rnacentral:misc_RNA from 1 species
UGGUUCUGGCAUCGAUGAAGAACGCAGCGAAAUGCGAUAAGUAAUGCGAAUUGCAGAAUUCCGUGAGUCAUCGAAUCUUUGAACGCACAUUGCGCCCUAUGGUAUUCCGUAGGGCAUGCCUGUUCGAGCGUCAUUAUCAACCUUCAAGCCUGGCUUGCUGUUGAACCACGACGGGAAACCGUCGGGUUCCAAAGACAACGACGGUGGUGGUCAGCCCCCUGGUACAAUGAGCUUUCACGAGCACGUACUGUGGUGGACUGGCCUGCCCCGGUCUCUCGAUAUUAUUUCUUAGGUUGACCUCGGAUCAGGUAGGGAUACCCGCUGA